rnacentral:rRNA from 1 species
AGUCGAGCGGACCGACGGGAGCUUGCUCCCUUAGGUCAGCGGCGGACGGGUGAGUAACACGUGGGUAACCUGCCUGUAAGACUGGGAUAACUCCGGGAAACCGGGGCUAAUACCGGAUGCUUGAUUGAACCGCAUGGUUCAAUCAUGAAAGGCGGCUUCGGCUGCCGUUUACAGAUGGACCCGCGGCGCAUUAGCUAGUUGGUGAGGUAACGGCUCACCAAGGCGACGAUGCGUAGCCGACCUGAGAGGGUGAUCGGCCACACUGGGACUGAGACACGGCCCAGACUCCUACGGGAGGCAGCAGUAGGGAAUCUUCCGCAAUGGACGAAAGUCUGACGGAGCAACGCCGCGUGAGUGAUGAAGGUUUUCGGAUCGUAAAGCUCUGUUGUUAGGGAAGAACAAGUACCGUUCGAAUAGGGCGGUACCUUGACGGUACCUAACCAGAAAGCCACGGCUAACUACGUGCCAGCAGCCGCGGUAAUACGUAGGUGGCAAGCGUUGUCCGGAAUUAUUGGGCGUAAAGCGCGCGCAGGCGGUUUCUUAAGUCUGAUGUGAAAGCCCCCGGCUCAACCGGGGAGGGUCAUUGGAAACUGGGGAACUUGAGUGCAGAAGAGGAGAGU